GAACACGGGAGGGUGCGUCCGCUUAUUCAGCAUAUUCUGGGCGCAAAAUCCUCCGUCGGGUGGCUUUAUUAACUUCGAAUUCGAAAUACGCCGUAGGUUUACUUGGCGAAUUUCAUUCCGAUCGCUGGUGAGCUAGAGUAUGGGAGAGGGAUGGUAGAAUUCCAAGGUGUACCCGGUGAUAUGCGUAGAGAUCUGGAGGAAUACCGAUGCCGAAGGCAGCCAUCUGGCGUAAUACUGACGCUGAGGUACGAAAGCAUGGGGAGCAAACAGGAUUAGAUACCCUGGUAGUGCAUGCCGUAAACGAUGUUUACUAGUCGUCGGGGCCUCUGAGGAUUUUAGUGGCGCAGUUAACGCGAUUAGUAGACCCCCUCUGGAGUCCACUCUCAAAAUUAAAACUCUGAAGUGAAUUCGCGGGGGCGCACACAAGCGGUGGCGCAUGUGGUACAAUUAGACGCAACGAGAAGACCCUUACGUGGCCUUGACAUACUAGAAACUUUCCAGAGAUGGAUUGGUGCCUUCGGGAAUAUAGAUACAGGUGCUGCAUGGCUGUCGUCAGCUCGUGUCGUGAGAUGUUGGGUUAAGUCCCGCAACGAGCGCAACCCUUUUCCUUACUUGCCAGCAUUUCGGAUGGGAACUUUAAGGAUACUGCCAGUGACAAACUGGAGGAAGGCGGGGACGACGUCAAGUCAUCAUGGCCCUUACGGCCAGGGCUACACACGUGCUACAAUGGUCGGUACAAAGGGUUGCUACACAGCGAUGUGAUGCUAAUCUCAAAAAGCCGAUCGUAGUCCGGAUUGGAGUCUGCAACUCGACUCCAUGAAGUCGG
rnacentral:rRNA from 1 species